GUGUGUCACGUCAUCAUGUCCAAACACUGACGCAUCAUUGUCAUGUCAUCACCUUCAACAACAUGGCAAUGACAUAUCAGUGAUUGGGCGUGAUGAUAUGACACUUCAU
rnacentral:pre_miRNA from 1 species